rnacentral:rRNA from 1 species
UCCAGACUCCUACGGGAGGCAGCAGUGAGGAAUAUUGGUCAAUGGGCGCAAGCCUGAACCAGCCAAGUCGCGUGAGGGAAGACGGCCCUACGGGUUGUAAACCUCUUUUGCCGGGGAGCAAGCCUGAGCACGUGUGCCCAGGCGGAGAGUACCCGGAGAAAAAGCAUCGGCUAACUCCGUGCCAGCAGCCGCGGUAAUACGGAGGAUGCGAGCGUUAUCCGGAUUUAUUGGGUUUAAAGGGUGCGUAGGCGGGCAUUUAAGCCGGCGGUCAAAUGUCGGGGCUCAACCCCGGCCUGCCGUCGGAACUGGGUGCCUUGAGUGGGCGAGAAGUGUGCGGAAUGCGUGGUGUAGCGGUGAAAUGCAUAGAUAUCACGCAGAACCCCGAUUGCGAAGGCAGCAUACCGGCGCCCUACUGACGCUGAGGCACGAAAGUGCGGGUAUCGAACAGGAUUAGAUACCCCCGUA